rnacentral:tRNA from 8 species
UCGUUAGCUCAGUUGGUAGAGCAGUUGGCUUUUAACCAAUUGGUCGCUGGUUCGAAUCCAGCACGA